rnacentral:rRNA from 1 species
UGAGGAAUAUUGGUCAAUGGGCGCAAGCCUGAACCAGCGACGCCGCGUGGGUGAAGAAGGCCUUCGGGUCGUAAAGCCCUUUUCUGUGUGAAGAGAGAGGACGGUAGCACAGGAAUAAGCGUCGGCUAACUACGUGCCAGCAGCCGCGGUAAAACGUAGGACGCAAGCGUUAUCCGGAAUUACUGGGCGUAAAGGGCGUGCAGGCGGUUCUUUAAGUUAGGCGUGAAAGCUCCGGGCUAAACCUGGAGAGGUCGUCUGAUACUGGGGAACUAGAGUGUGGUAGAGGGGUGUAGAAUUCCGGGUGUAGUGGUGAAAUGCGUAGAUAUCCGGAGGAAUACCAGUGGCGAAGGCGGCACCCCUGGGCCAUAACUGACGCUAAGACGCGAAAGCAUGGGUAGCGAACGGGAUUAGAAACCCCGGUAGUCCAUGCCGUAAACGAUGUGCACUCGGUGUUCUGACAGGGAAGCCUGUUGGAGUGCCCCAGCAAACGCGGUAAGUGCACCGCCUGGGGAGUACGGUCGCAAGGCUA